CCCUCUCUCCCCACAUCAUUUUGUGGAGCAGGUUGUCAGAGGGAGGGAUCAGACAGGGUAUGUCCUUUCUGGGAGACUCCUGCUUCCUACCACACUUCACUGUCCUCAGCUGGAAAGAGGCCUUUCUCAACCCUUCUUGGCCUGGAAGCCUCUGUACUGAGAGGUUCAGGAAAUCCAGGCAAUGAUUGAUGGUUUGUUGGUGUCAGCAGAGCAUAGGAAAAGCUUCUUUUCAGAUAGGAGAUUAAGCUCUUUUCAUUUUGGGAUCAAAAGCAAGAAGAAAGAGAUGCAUUUCAUAUGCAAUCUGAGUUCUUUUAAAGCAGUGGCCCCUGGACAUCUCCACCCACUCGUCCUAAAUUCAAC
rnacentral:lncRNA from 1 species